GUUGCUUCUUGGCCUUUUGGCUAAGAUCAAGUGUAGUAUGAAACACUAGCUGCAUACUAAAUUGUGAUGGUUCUUUCCAGGAAAAGUAUUGAAAUGUUUGAAUUGCUAACUGAACUAAUCAAUAAUUUUUAAAGUAGAAUACCAUCUUUACUUGAAAGAAUGACUAAC
ensembl:snRNA U2 U2 spliceosomal RNA